GACGAACCGUCCAAACGUUGUUCGGAAUCACUGGGCUUAAAGGGCGCGUAGGCGGGUCUCCAAGUCGGUGGUGAAAUCUUUCGGCUCAACCGGAAAACAGCCGCCGAUACUGGGGGUCUCGAGGGAGGUAGGGUCGAUGGAACUCCGGUGGAGCGGUGAAAUGCGUAGAUAUCGGAAGGAACGCCGGUGGCGAAAGCGAUCGACUGGACCUUUUCUGACGGCUGAGGCGCGAAAGCCAGGGGAGCAA
rnacentral:rRNA from 1 species